rnacentral:rRNA from 1 species
UACAGAGGUCUCGAGCGUUAGGCGGAAUCACUGGGCUUAAAGCGUGUGUAGGCGGGUCGUUAAGUACCUUGUGAAAUCCCAUGGCUCAACCAUGGAACUGCUUGGUAUACUGGCGAUCUUGUGCAACCUAGGGGCGAGCGGAACAGAUGGUGGAGCGGUGAAAUGCGUAGAUAUCGGGAGGAAUACCAGUGGCGAAGGCGGCCUUCUGGACGGAUACUGACGCUGAGGCGCGAAAGCUAGGGGAGCAAACGGG